rnacentral:siRNA from 1 species
UUUGGAUCAUCUCCUCGUGCA